rnacentral:rRNA from 1 species
UUAAUUGAUGCUAAAAGAAUGGAAUUACAGGGAAAAGUUUUUUUAAAUUUAAUAAUUGAAGUUAUUUUAAUUUGUGAAGAAACAAUUAUAUAAAUUAAAGACAAGAAGACCCUAAGAAUUUAAGAAUUUUUAUUAAUAUAUUAUAUGUAUAUAUAUAAAUAAAAUUCUUAGUUGGGGCAACUAAAAAAUAUAUUAAACUUUUUUUUUAAAAAAAUGACCCAUUAUUAAUGAUAAUAUGAAAAAAAUACUCUAGGGAUAACAGCGUAAUAAUUUUUGAUAGAUCUUAUAGACAAAAUAGUUUGCGACCUCGAUGUUGGAUUAGGAUACUUUUUUAAUGAAGAUGUUAAAAAAAGAAGUUUGCUCAACUUUUAAAAAUCCUACA